GCUGUAGCGGUCCCGGGCUCCCGGCCUGACACUUAACACCCUCGGUCCCGAGUCAUCACCCAGAGACCCUCCCCGCCCCCCAGGACUGCUCAGUUCCCCGCGGGUCACAGAGAGGAGGGGCUGGAGGUCUCGGGGUUCCUCCCCAGACUUGCCCAGACUUAGCUGGCAGUUACGCAACGGGAGAGCGGGACCCGGGCGUGGUCCGUCUACGCCUGGACGCUUCUCCCUAAGAAUCUCGAGAAUUGGACACCUUUUCUGCAGUCUACCCCAGCGUCGCUAGGAGAAGAAUUUACCAACUCAAAUCUGGCCCAAGCGUGGACCGUCUAGAUAAGGAAGCGGAUCACAAAAACAAAUUGGUCUCUGUGUGUGUGUCUGGGUACCUGUGUGCUACGUGUGUGCGCGCGCCUGUCAUUUUGUGUCAUUUUAGUUUGGGUUUUAGGGGGGACAGUUUUGAAAGUUUAAUAAUGUUUUAUGAGUAGGAAGCCGUCGGUUCCGAUCCAAAUCCAAGAACAGUCUCAAAUUUAAACCCCUAUAGCCUUUCUGCGGGCCUGGCGGGUUUUGUUUCCGAGGCUGGAUUGCUUUUGUCUUUGGCUCCGCUUAAAGAGGACUUCCUGGUUUGGGCUGGAAGUGAAAUGUAACGAGCCUGACUAGAAAACUUCUUUACAAACGCUGUCAGCCUGCGGUCGCUGCCCUGCAGUUGCUGCCCAUUUGUCAGACCUGACAGAAAAGACCUGUUACCCUGCAAUGGCAUUGACACUUAGGGCCUGGAGGUGACCGCUCUCUGCAGUGUUGUGUUUUGGGUAAUUGGAGAGAGAGAGGACAGAUUGUAGGGAAGAUUUGUCAUGAUACAUAGAGCUUGGCAGAAUGGAAUUCUUGCUUCCUUCUACAUUAUCGUUUUUAGGGAUUCUGACUUCCCUUUAUUCAAGGGACUGGCUAGCCUCAUUCUUAAUGGAAGGAGCAGGCAGAAAUGAUUUAAAUGUAUUUCCUCUUAAAGGGUUCUACAAUCUUUGUGUCUAGUAUUUCCAACCACAGGCUGCAGUGCAGGAAUUUAUAGAUAAAAAUGAAACAACUUGGACAUGGGGUCUAUGAUUGUUCAUUCAAGGAAAAUCGAUUGGUGGUAUGAAUUACAUUCAUAAGUGGGGAAAAUACGUCAUAAGCCUGAAAAAAAUGCUUUUAUGAUUGUGACCAAACAGUGAUUUAAACAAACCCCAAAACUAUAGGGGUGAGGAGAUAGGCAGCCCCACCUCCAGGCCCUGGAACUGAAACCCUUUCCUUACCUGGGAGCCUAGAGGGCCCAGAUUCAGGUUUUAGACCCCUGAGUAUAUUGUGCUAACUCUGGAAGAAGAAUGGUUCCCAUUGAAGUUUGAGGUAUUUUCUAACGGGGCUUAUAAAAUUGAACUUAAACUAGUUAGUUCUAUAUUUUUUGAAAGACUUCCAUGGCAAGCAUGGUGAAAGGAAUUGUGGAGAGAGUGACAUAAAGAUUAAAAAUACACAUUCUCUGCCCUCCGGGGACUUACAGUUUAGCUGAGGUCAUAUUGCGUUUGUAACACAUGAUCAUUUGGGUGACAUACGGCAUGUGAAUGAGCACAAAUGUGUUUGAGGAGUUUGGGGUGUUGUGGGUUUUGGUGAUUAUAGGAAGGGCAAGGAGCAGGCUGGCUGGCUGGUGGAAUGUGGACAGAAGAAGAAAGAGUGGAGGCAGUUCAGGAAAUAAAAAGGAGCCCACCCACCCGGCUAGAGCUGCUGGUCCAAGUACAGGAGUAAUCAACACAUUGAUCAACUUAUUUUCUGUGCAACUACACUGUGCUACAUGAUGUAGUUGAUAUCAAAAUCUAUAAGAGAUAAUGACCUUCGCUUUAGGGUUUUGCUCAAGAGUUGGAACUCGUAUGAGCAGAAUGGUGUGAGCUAAACAGCACGCUGAUGAUUAUAAGUAAGAAGAAUUUCAAAGAAGUUGAAGAAGGGGGUGAUGUUUUCCCUUUCUCUUGUAGUCAAUGAGGAAUUUGGAACUUUGAUACCAUGAUCAGCUUUUGGGCAUGUUGGGGAAGGUUGUUUUAAGUAUAUAUGGCAACUUUUGCUACAUUUUUCUUUGUACAUAUUAAGUAUUUCAUUCCUUUAUUUACUCAGUAACAGCAUGCCUGCUGUAUGUCAACCUCAGUGGAGGUGCCAGGGACCUCCUACACUCAAGGACCUCACAGUCCAGCAGGAAAGACAGACAAAUAAAUCCAUAACCAAGUGACCGUGGGAUAAGGGCAGUGGCCUGCAGUGGUAUUCCAAGAGCACUGUAGAAUGCUGAGGAGGGGCUUCUCCUUCUGACUGAGGGGCGGGCAAGCUGGGAGAGGAAGGAGCUCAGGGGCUGCUUCCUCCCCUGAUGUUGACUUGACUGUUGACUUGAGUGAGUUGAAACCUCCUCUGAGCAAUCUCCAUGUUGUAUGUCCUGUUUGUCCCCACUACUGCUGUCCCUCUUCAGAAACUCAUCACUUCUUAUCAGGAAAUGUGUAAAAUGAGAAAAAGAAAGAGAGGAUGGAGGCCAGAGCAGAAGCCAGUGGAGCCUGAGAAGGAGCUGCAGUGGAGCAGAAGCCUCAGGUUGAGAUGAUGACAUUACAAGAUGAAAAUAGCAUGGAUCACUGGAAGCAAGCUGCCUGGGGGAGCCACUUGACCUGCAGUGGACGUUGCAUGAGAAAGAAAUGUACUUUUAAGUGAUCGGCCACUGACGUUCAGAUGAAGAGGAUAAAUGGGUCCAGAAAUAGGAAUUGUAUGAUGCUGGUGUACGAUCUAUUGAUGCUGGACGUGGAGGAGAACCAAGAGUCAAGACAUGGAUUGAAAACGAAAAGCUGAAAAAGCUCACAAGAAGACAACAGGGGCCAGCUCCAAGGCUCAGUGUGUCUAGAGAAGAGGUGAAGUCCUCAGUGGCAGCCUGUUUCUUUUCGGUAAUAAUCUCCCUAGGUGCUGUAAUAGAGAGAAGGAAAUGAAACUGAGAAGGGGUAGAGAAAUUCUGCAGUGGUAACAGGUUUGUGUGCAACAUACGUAUCCUUCAUUUAGGAAGAAACCCUCGGAAUUAGGUGGAGCUGAUAUAAAAUAAGACCUGUGAACUCAAGAGGCCCACAGAAGGUGAACAUUUCCUUAGGGUUGAUAAUGGCCUGAGUAUAUUCACUCUGUGGUCAGGGGCAUGGAAGAGUUGGGCUGCUUAUUGUGUUCUUACUACGUGGACCAGAACAGAGUGGUUUGAGCCCCCUGAUCAGAAGAUAAAGAAAAGAGAAAACUUCAGCUGCUUUAUGUAAACCCAAUCUGGUACUCUCUGGCACAAAAUUCCCAAGGUAUUUGGGGAGGUUUCAGGGGUCCUCUGAAAGAUGCCAAAGACUUUUCCAAAGGAAAUGAAGCAGUUGAGAUGAAGGGUCCAGUAAGCCAUUGCUUGCCGCUGUGCAUCUUGUACAGUUCGUAAAGACACCCAGAUAAAGGGCCCUACCUCCUCAUUGCCAAGCCUUGUGCUCUGCCUGAGACUUCAUCCACUCAGAGAAAGUGGCUUUUUUCCAGUUGGUCCACCUAGGGGGAACUCUUUCUAAAAUUUGCAUUAAGGCUUUACAAAAGAUGGCGGUGACCCAGGGGUCCAGUCAUUUUUCUCUAAGGCCCAGCCAACACUUAUCCUCACACUGUGAACCCUAUAUAUAAGGUCAACAUUUAAUCUUUAAAUUUACUUAGGUAGACAAAAUAUUGUAUGCUUCUUACAUUACCACAGUUUGCUUAAAUCAUAAAAUUUAUUUAUAUGGUAAGAUUGUUUUAUCACAAAGAAUAUCAACUAGGUAUUAAUAAAAAAAUAAAAAUUUGUGUUUA